rnacentral:sRNA from 1 species
CAGUACACUGUGCAUGUAGACGGACCUCAAUUUCAGUAUCUUCAAGUGCCGUGGUACCGAAAGGCAUCCAUGGAGACACCGGCCACCGAGUGUGCCGUUCUGCUUGGGUCAGAUAGAGAAGUCGGCACUCAUCUGAUCGUAAAAGCACCCCAUUAAUAAUUGGGGGUUGGGAGACAGGUUCCUGCAAAAAUGAUUGUGUGACACCACACCAUGAUGCAGCAUGGAGUUCAAUCGGCAGUAGGCCGAAUCGACCAUCCUGGAGGACAUUCUUGUGAGUACCCACAAUUAUGCCACCAAGCCAAAGGAAAGAAACUUGCGGGACUCGGUUCAUCAUGAUAUGAGCAAGUAGAUGGUCGUCCCCCACAGAGUCAAGAACAGUGAACGUAGACUGCAGCCAUGGGCUUACGGCAUUGCAAGGUAUUCCAGGUUCAUAAAAUACACUCGACAAAAGAGAGUGUAGACCUCGUGUGUUGCAACUCAAUGUCAAAAGUUUGUCCAGCUCCGACACUAUCUGCUCUGAUAUAAAGCCAAGUUGUUUCUGCUCAGUUGGCUCUGAUAUGGCUGGCUUCAGCCUUUGCCUCUUAUGACAAUCGGGUUUCGGGAGUGAUAUUGGGUUUUUCUUUGUAUGCAACGAAGGAAGAAACAAUGCUGAAGAUAGCGCCGCCAGGGUUUGGUCAACAAGGUUGUGUAGAUUGCAGUAUUCUGCAAGAAAACGAACUGCAGUGGUGAACGAAGGUGAGGCAGUUGACGUAUGGCAGAGUGGUUUGCGGCAGGAAAGCGUAAAUUUCGCCUCUGUUUCCAAAGCAGUCGACCAAGGC